rnacentral:rRNA from 1 species
UACGGAGGAUCCAAGCGUUAUCCGGAAUCAUUGGGUUUAAAGGGUCCGUAGGCGGCUUUAUAAGUCAGUGGUGAAAUCCGGCAGCUCAACUGUCGAAUUGCCAUUGAUACUGUAGGGCUUGAAUGUUUGUGAAGUAACUAGAAUAUGUAGUGUAGCGGUGAAAUGCUUAGAUAUUACAUGGAAUACCCAUUGCGAAGGCAGGUUACUAACAAAUGAUUGACGCUGAUGGACGAGAGCGUGGGGAGCGAACAGG